GGGCCCGUAGCUCAACUGGCAGAGCAGCAGCCUUUUAAGCUGUUGGUUUCGAGUUCGAGUCUCGACGGGCUCACCC
rnacentral:tRNA from 2 species